rfam:Ovis aries breed Texel chromosome 11, whole genome shotgun sequence.
UCCCUGGUGGCUCAGAGGGUAAAGCAUUUGCCUGCAAUGCAGGAGACCUGGGUUCGAUCUCUGGGUCAGGAAG